rnacentral:lncRNA from 1 species
CUCGGAUUGGACCUUCUUCAGCACAGCCAGUGGCCGAGGCUUCCUCCCUGGGGCUCAGUGGAGCAGGACAGAUGCUGCAUCCAAACUCUUCCAUUGGGUUCCAGUCUGUUCCAGUCAUGCCCUUGAGCCUCUAAAGCUCCUAGGUGAGAGACGUAGCAGCUGACAGCACUUCCCACUUGAUUUGGGUGGACUCCAGCCUCCCCAGCAACAAUAAGAGAUCAAAAGCAUCGUUGAGGAAGCAGCUUGCUGAAACGCUGAGUGCCCGCCACUCUCAGGUCAGGUGGGACCGGCAGGCCAGCAUGAGUUCCUGAACACUUGGUUCUCAAUACUGGCCACAGCCACACUGUAAGGGGAAACAAGAGGGCACUGUAUGCAAACAUCUCUUGAACUCUGGAGUCUGCUCACCUUCCUGCCUCAAGCCCCUCUCCCACGUGGUCCAGUCACCAUUCUCCACAGAGACUACCCUAAAACCCAGCGACUCUCGUGUGCCUGCAGAAUGGCACAGCCCGUUCUCAUAGCAGCACUCCUGUUUAAUCAGAGGGAUGUUAACGACCAAGUCAUAUUUGCUCGAUUUGUGUUCAACAUAUUUCAUUUGUACCGAUAAAACUUAAAAAUAUCCCCACACAUGCAUUGCCUAUUAAAGAGUAUCUUCCAGGUACACCUCCCUUACACAUCAGUUAACUUGAUAAUUUCUUCCCAUUCUUGUGCAAUAAAUUUCCUUCCUGAUCAGCUCUGUCCAGCAGCAACAAUAAUCCACGUAGAGACAUGCAAACUAAAAGUCCGUUAGUGGAGGCACGAAGCUGAUGAGGCUUGGAAAAAAAUGACCGAUUUGAUUAAAAUUAGGACCCAUGGGAGUGGAGCUCUGCCUAUUUUAGAGGCAAAGUAAAUGCCUGGGAGUCCAAUCACCGACAUUCUGUUUGAGGUUUCUAAUCACAAGGAAGAUGGAGAAAAUGCAGAACAAGUGGUCAAGAACAGGGAGAUAAUAAAUAGAAUAUUUAUGGGCUGAGGAAAACAAUUACCAGGGGAAAGCCCAAGAAGCAAAGAUGAACAGAGAACGUGCUGACUGCGCUCGUUUGGAAAGGCCUCAUGGCCAAAGGAGGAGAGGCAUUAUGAGGAGCAGUGACCGAGUGGGCAGGACCCCCGGGGAUCAGGAAAGGUGCACGGGGGGAAAUGAGAGGCCUGAGCGGCUUCCCAGCGAAGGUUUUUGAAGCACGGUUUGAUUUUCUCUCUCCCCCUCACCAUCCCCAAAUUUUAGUUGUGACUAUCUCCAGGUACAUGGCUUGCGACAGGCGGUGUAUAAAAACUAAUGUCAGUUUAAUUUUAAAACCUUAGCCAUUUUCUGGAACUUAAAUAUCAAAGAGAAAAUGUCCACAUAUGAUGUUAAUUGAGGUUUGUCUCACUGGUGAUUUGUGCUGAUUCAAUUCCUGUUUCUUUUUUUUUUUCUUAAGGGGUCAGUUUUAGAAUUGGGAGAUAGGUGUAUAACAUAUGACUAUACAGCGCAGGUUGGUUUUUUAACAUAGAAAUAUCUGCCUUUAAAUGAGAACUGAAAACGGAGCUUCUUGGAGGCCACCUGCUGGUGGCAGUGAUCUGACCGCUGUUUAAGCUUUCUUUGAACUCCUUUUUUUAAAACAGCCUCCAUAAUCAAUGGUGUACGAUCUACUCUCGUGGUAAAACUUACUCAGUGAAGAGUGUGUUUUAUUUUCUGAGGAGCUGAACUGUUCCAACCUGAGUAUUCUGAAUAAGGACAGUGGUCGAGCAUGAGUGAUGCCAUCUGGGCUUAGAAAUAAGUGGGCCUAAAAUCUGAUUGUUUUCAUACAUUGUUCAGAUAUUGACGCAAAUAGCAAUUUAUUUUGUAAAAAAUGAUUGGUAUCCGGAACUUGCAACAGCUGUGUGUGGCUUGAAGGGAGAUGAAGUGGUGAAGGCCUGGUUUCCACCGAAGCUCUCACAGCCCAGCCUUUCACUGUGUGGCCGGGGGAAGGGUGCUCCGGGUGGGGGACGGGAAUGGUGGGACUGGGGAUGCCACGGGACAAGGCUGCUGGCCUGGAAGGUAGUCACGUGGAGAACCGCAGGAGAUGAGAUUGGAAAGUAGUAAUAAGCCAUGUGGAUAAGAACAGAGGAGCGGGUUUUAAGGGGGACGUCCUGAAAUGCUGCUCAUGUCGUUUCAGUUCCAUAGACCACAGGAAAUGCAGGUGAGAGGGCAGCCCGGUGGGAAGGAAGGAAGAGGGUGGUGGUGAGCCAGGUGAGUGUGGAGCCGCCCAGGGCACCGUGCUGUGCGAUAGCUCAGGCAUCGGGUGCUUCUGCCAAACCCUUCAGCAGCUGGUUUGGGGCCAAACGUCCUUCCUGUGUGAGAGAAGGCAGAGCCUAGGCAGCAUUCCAAACCCCAUCCAGAUGGGAGGCUGAGUGCAGAGCAAACGGAGCCCAGCACUCCAGAGCCGUGUCCCUUCACUGCCAUGAUCACAUCACAAACAGCGAGGCUUGGAGAGGACUUAAGAGCUCCUUCAAUGCCAUCUUCCAUCCACUGCGUGAGCCAGAAUAGAAAAAAAGGAAUAAGAAGAGGUCGGUUAAGCUCUCUAUUAAGUUGAGAAAAUGGGAACUUCAGGUGAUCAUGUGAGAUAUUCAAGUUAAAAAAAUUAUUUAAAAAGCACAUUCUUAUUAUUAAAAUUUUAGAAAGUACAGAGAAGG